GGAGAGUUUGAUCCUGGCUCAGGAUGAAUGCUGGCGGCGUGCCUAACACAUGCAAGUCGAACGGAAACAGGUUCUCACUGUUUUCUUGACUCGGAGUUUUUGCUUCGUAAUAGUCGAGAAAAGAGUGAGAAUGCUGUCGAGUGGCGGACGGCUGAGUAACGCGUAGGAAUCUGCCCCAAAGUGAGGAAUAACUGCCCGAAAGGGUGGCUAAUACCGCAUAUGAUCUUCGGAUUAAAGUCUUCGGACGCUUUGGGAGGAGCCUGCGUUAGAUUAGGUAGUUGGUAGGGUAAUGGCCUACCAAGCCUACGAUCUAUAGCUGGUCUGAGAGGAUGAUCAGCCAGACUGGGACUGAGACACGGCCCAGACUCCUACGGGAGGCAGCAGUGAGGAAUCUUCCACAAUGGGGGCAACCCUGAUGGAGCAACGCCGCGUGAAGGAUGAAGGUCUUCGGAUUGUAAACUUCUUUUAUAAGUGAAGAAUAUGACUGUAACUUAUGAAUAAGCACCGGCUAACUACGUGCCAGCAGCCGCGGUCAUACGUAGGGUGCAAGCAUUAUCCGGAGUGACUGGGCGUAAAGAGUUGCGUAGGCGGU
rnacentral:rRNA from 1 species